UACGUAGGGCGCAAGCGUUGCCCGGAAUCAUUGGGCGUAAAGAGCUCGUAGGUGGUCUGUUACGUCUGCUGUGAAAACCUAGGGCUUAACCCUGGGCCUGCAGUGGAUACGGGCAGACUAGAGGUAGGUAGGGGAGAAUGGAAUUCCCGGUGUAGCGGUGAAAUGCGCAGAUAUCGGGAGGAACACCGGUGGCGAAGGCGGUUCUCUGGGCCUUACCUGACACUGAGGAGCGAAAGCGUGGGGAGCGAACAGG
rnacentral:rRNA from 1 species